rnacentral:rRNA from 1 species
UACAGAGGUCUCAAGCGUUGUUCGGAAUUACUGGGCGUAAAGCGCGUGUAGGCGGUUGUUCAAGUCAGGUGUGAAAGCCUUGAGCUCAACUCAAGAAAUGCACUUGAUACUGGAUGACUAGAGGACCGGAGAGGAUAGUGGAAUUCCCAGUGUAGUGGUGAAAUACGUAGAGAUUGGGAAGAACACCAGUGGCGAAGGCGGCUAUCUGGACGGUUUCUGACGCUAAGACGCGAAAGCGUGGGGAGCAAACAGG